rnacentral:rRNA from 1 species
CGAAUUCUGGCGCUAGUAAUGCAGUCGAGCGGAGAUGAUCGCAGAGCUUGCUCCCUGAUGUCAGCGGCGGACGGGUGAGUAACACGUGGGUAACCUGCCUGUAAGACUGGGAUAACUCCGGGAAACCGGGGCUAAUACCGGAUGCUUGAUUGAACCGCAUGGUUCAAUUAUAAAAGGUGGCUUCUGCUAACCCUUUCCAAAGGACCCCCGGCGCCUUUACUAAUUGGUGGAGUUACGGCUCCCCCAGGGCACCAAGCCUAACCCAACUGAAAGGGUGGUCCGCCCCCCUGGGAAUGAAACACCGCCCCAAAUCCCACGGGAAGCCACAAUAAGGAAUCCUCCGCAAUGGACGAAAACACCAAGGAUAAAACGCCCGGAUGAG